CGAUGGUUAGGGGUCUGACCAUGCAGGUCGAGCGGUAAACAUGGAGCUUGCUCCUGGGUGACGAGCGGCGGACGGGUGAGUUUUGUCUCGGGACCAUGCCUGAUGGAGGGGGAUACCUACUGGAUAACGGCCGCUAUUACCUCUUAUCCUCGUCCGACCCAAAUGGGGGACCUUCUGCGCCUCUUGCCAUCUCCAUGUGCCCGGAUGGGAUUAACUCUGGUGUGGGGUAAUGGCUCACCUAGACGACUAUCCCUGUCUGGUCUGAGAUGAUGACCAUCCCCCCUGUAGCUGAGACUCUGUCACACACUCCUCCGGGAGGCCGCAGUGGGCUAAUAUUGUCCUUUGGGUGCUGGCUUGAUGCAGCCUUGCUCCGCGUAUAAAGAAGGCCUUCGGGUUGUAAAGUACUUUCAGCGAGGAGGAAGGCAUUAAGGUUAAUAACCUUAGUGAUUGACGUUACUCGCAGAAGAAGCACCGGCUAACUCCGUGCCAGCAGCCGCGGUAAUACGGAGGGUGCAAGCGUUAAUCGGAAUUACUGGGCGUAAAGCGCACGCAGGCGGUCUGUCAAGUCGGAUGUGAAAUCCCCGGGCUCAACCUGGGAACUGCAUUCGAAACUGGCAGGCUAGAGUCUUGUAGAGGGGGGUAGAAUUCCAGGUGUAGCGGUGAAAUGCGUAGAGAUCUGGAGGAAUACCGGUGGCGAAGGCGGCCCCCUGGACAAAGACUGACGCUCAGGUGCGAAAGCGUGGGGAGCAAACAGGAUUAGAUACCCUGGUAGUCCACGCCGUAAACGAUGUCGACUUGGAGGUUGUGCCCUUGAGGCGUGGCUUCCGGAGCUAACGCGUUAAGUCGACCGCCUGGGGAGUACGGCCGCAAGGUUAAAACUCAAAUGAAUUGACGGGGGCCCGCACAAGCGGUGGAGCAUGUGGUUUAAUUCGAUGCAACGCGAAGAACCUUACCUACUCUUGACAUCCAGAGAACUUUCCAGAGAUGGAUUGGUGCCUUCGGGAACUCUGAGACAGGUGCUGCAUGGCUGUCGUCAGCUCGUGUUGUGAAAUGUUGGGUUAAGUCCCGCAACGAGCGCAACCCUUAUCCUUUGUUGCCAGCGGUUCGGCCGGGAACUCAAAGGAAACUGCCAGUGAUAAACUGGAGGAAAGGGGGGGAUAACUCCAGUCCUCUUGGCCCUUACAAGUAGGGGUCCCCCCUGCUUCAAUGGGGCAACAAAAAAAAACACCCCCCCCGAAGCAACGGACCUCUAAAAGGCGCGCCAAAUCCCGAUAGGAACUUGCAACCCCCCCCCGGAAGCGGAAACCCU
rnacentral:rRNA from 1 species